GGGGGUUGGAGCAAAGCCUGGAGUGCUGGUGGGAGUGGAUUCCUGGUAGAGGGGACGGCAGAACCUUCCAUGUCCCCCCACCGCUGUGUGGACCAUGAUUGAACACUUCCCACGCCAGGUCCCAUUUGACCCUGAAACAGUCACACAAGAAACGGCCAGGUGUCUUCUGGGGAACAAGACAGCCCCUCGCUGAGGACCGGUGUCCAGGAACAUCAGCUCCGCGGAGGCAGGGAGACUGGUCCGUUUUGUUCACUGUGGUGUCCACCCCUGCCCCCGCCACCCUCAGACAGGGCCUGGAAUGCAGGAGGCGCUAAAUAAAUACUUGCUGUGUGAAUUGGAUGCUUCCUAGAUGAGAUGCAGGCACGUGCCAGGUCCCUGCGGCAGGUCACGUUGUUCCCAUCUCGCAGGUGAGGAAAACGAGGCUCGGGGAGGGGAGCGACUCCCAGAGGCAUGAGUGGAUGGAAGGCGCCGGGGGCCGGCCACGCCGUGCGGCCGCAGUGUUGUGGGUGUCCCAGUGCCGGCUGAGGCGGCAGUCAGCCAUGCCAGGCGGGGGGUGGGCCACGGGAUCAGGCGAAGUCAUGAAGAGUGGACGAGUGAGUCUUAUCUUGGUUCCCUAGCAGACAAAUGGUGGCAGAUGGCAAAGUUCAGCAAAGUUAAUGGGAAGAAGCCGCAUCCAAAUAUUAUUCAGCCGCGAGAAAGGACAUCCUGUCAUUUGUGACGACAGGGACGGACCUUGAGGGCAUUGCGCUGAGUGAGAUAAGCCAGACUGAGAGAGACAAAUGCCGCAUGAUGUCACUUACAUGUGAAAUCUAAAAGAGUCACUCACAGGAGCAAAGAGUAGA